rnacentral:rRNA from 1 species
UUUAAAUGAAGACCAGAACAAAAGAUUAAACGUUUAAAUCAAUAUUUAUAWUUAARUAAUCCAAUUUAUCUUAAAUGURAAAAGACAUUUAUAAAUAAGAAAGACGACAAGASCCUAUUGAACUUAACUUAAGUUAAACUGGGGCAGUUAAUUAAUAAAAAUUUUAAUUUAAAAAACAAAACAAAUAAUCCAAUAUUAUUGAAAUGAUCAAGUUACCAUAGGGAUAACAGCGUAAUAAUUUUUCAAAGCUCUUAUAAAAACAAUAGUUUGCGACCUCGAUGUUGAAUUAAUUACCUAAUUAGAGCAAAAGCUAAUCAAGGAAGUCUGUUCGACUUUUAAAAAAUUACAUGAUUUGAGUUCAGACCGGUAUAAGCCAGGUCGGUUUCUAUCUUCUUCUUAAUUCUUAUAGUACGAAAGGGACCAAGAAACUAAUAUCAUUAUUCAAUUGGCAGAAAAAUGCAUUAGAAUUAGAAUCUAAUAAAACUAAUUUAUAUCAUUUAUUUUAUCAUAUCUAUUUAUUACAAUCAGA